UUAAUUGCAAAUAUUCAUAAUAAAUUUGUUUUCUUCACAGCAACUGAACGAUUGAAAACGAGCAGAGGUGGGGAAAGACGCAAAACUGUUUGAGUCUAAUUAGUCAGCUUCUUGACUACAGGAUUUCGACAUGUAAAAGUUUUAAAAGAAAUGCCUACAGAUAUAUGAACUUGCAAAAGCUUACCAACCAGGAGAUUUAGCAAAGAGAGAUUUUGCUGGGUAUAGAUUCAUUUCCAUUAUCAAUGAUAAAGGUGAUGGAGUUAAAAAUAGAACUGCACUAUUAAAUAUAAAUCUAAUCGGAUGAGUUAUACGUAUCCAUUGACGCGUUUUUAUCCUUGUUGCUCAUGGUUACAUGUGGCUUUGAUUAUAUUCACCGGAGUUGGGAUGUUCCGAAUAAAUUGUCUACAAUGAAAUAAAAAAUUUAUUUAUGUAACUAAAAAAUUAUUUAAAUAGGACUUACCUAAAGUGGAUAUGUAUCUGCUGCUUUGUACAUUUUUCUGCUGCA